AAAAAAAAAAGCUGCUGCUGCAGAGGCACUGGAAUUAAAGCUAUCCAUCCAUCUGUGUAAAUACAAUUGGUAUUUCAGAAGUACAGCUGAUGGUGGGAUCCAUGAAGUCCGCAUCAGUGGAUUUAGUGCCAAAGGACUUGAGUCAAGCUGCCGAGGCAUCUGGCCUUUACUGCUUCCUGUGUUAUAUUGUAUUUUCCACCAAAAAAAAAGAAAAAUAGAACCAUGAUGAUUGCGUUGGAUUCCCCUCUGAUUGAGCCCUUAGAUGAAUAAAAUGUGAGGAAGUUCCCAUGUGGGUGUGAUGCUUAAGUUUCUCAGAGAAAGUCUGUUCUAAACGCUCGACUUGAGUUCUAUGAUUCAUGUCUCCUCGCUGGAAUGAAGAGUCGGAGUCACUUUGGCUGCGGGCUGAAGGUCGGAGCAGCCGAUCGGCACUCGGGGACAGGGUGUAGCGUUCGGCUUGCGGUGGGGUCGAGGUGAAAGGCCGCGCGGGGCCCCGUCGGAGCGGCCAGCUAUAGGCCUCGUAAUAAAAUACGUCAGAUUCAAUUACCUCUGCUGCUCCGCAGCCGCAGGACACCUUGUUUGGUCUUGACCACCUUCUAUCGAGUUAUUGAUUCCCCGCUCCUCCCCAGCGGCACCCGCGAUGCCAAUUAACCUCGUGGAUCGUCUCCAACUGAAAUGGGAGAAUGUGGGAUUCCGCUCAGUGCUUCGGGUGGCCUUCCUCUCGAUUCCUUGAAGAACAGAGGAGUGGAAGGAAGGGAGGGGAAAAAAGGACGCGGUGGAGAACACGAGCCGUUUGAAAAUGUGAUUCCCUGUGGAGAAUUGUAUGUUAUCCCUGUGAAAUAUUUAAAGAAACUCAUGUCCCACAAAUAUCCACGGCUGAAACGAUUGCACGGCAAAGGUGUUUUAAAAUGCAACAUGGAGGAAAUCAUCGAGUGGAGGAAACCCGGCUUCCGCACUAAUCCCCCCGACACCAGAGGAGCCAGAGAAUUACCUCCUCAGACGCCCAUUCAGACCGCCGGAGGGUCCCGCUGUGACCGCUAAUGCUAGGAAUGGGUGGGUUCUUUGGAUAAAGAGGGGCUCCCAUUCAGUUUCAUGCUCUGUCGUGGUCACAGCGACGAGGACUGAAGGUGGAGGUGGACACGGGCAAACUUCAAACCACUGCAAAUCUAAAAUGUAGGUAGAAAUAUGGACCUCUGUGUAGUUUCUAGCAACAAUGAUUAACUCAAUUGUUCUUCAUAAUGCCCACAAUGGUCUAUAUAUGUACGAUUAAUUUAAUAUAUAUCUUAUUUAAUCCUUCACACAGACACCAAUCAUGUGGAAUGUGGAGGGAGGACGUUUGGUUUCAUUUGAGCUCAAUGUCUUUUUUUGAACACAGCAAUUGUGUCUGUAACAUCUGACAUUUAUUUCGAUGUAUAUUGCAAAAGUAAACCGUUUUUUUUUAGUCUCAAUUGUUUUCUUCAGAUGCAUUUGUUCAUCCUUAAAAAAAAAAUCAUCUCACCAUCAAAAUGAAUGAAAAUAACAAAGUGCUUAGUUUGGUAAAAAGCGGAUAGCAACCACGCGGUUGUUUUUUUAUUAGCCACCGAUUUGUCUGCACAUUGUGUGGAUCAGAUGAGGCCUCAUCCGCCUGUGACCUCCAAUCAGCACGCCCUAUUCUGCAGACUGUGACAGUGACGGUUUCACCCGCCUUUCUCUCGGAGAUAACGGGCGCCGUAUCACAUGUCUGCGUUAUGUUUCCAAGUUGUUCACCGAGCUGAUUAUUAGGCUCUGAAAGACUCCGCGCUCAUCUGGAAAAUUGGACCGCAUUGGCUGAAAUGCAUGAAAUGAAAUCUCUGGCCUAAAAAAAAAGAAUUUCAAAAUGCUGAAAUCAAACCUGGACUGUGGAAGAGCCUCCAUUUGACUGCACAGCGCCGGAGUUGCACAUCAGACUCUCGGGUGUAAAAGGCUUGUUGUGCCUGUGUGUGAGCGCUGAUUGGCGCCUGCAAACUGUGAAUGCUUCCCCACUGAUGAGUGUUCUCCAAAGGGGAUCUUCAAAGGCCUGCCGGCGCCUCAAGAGCCUCCUCUUGUAAUUCCCCUGCACAGAGCGAAUUCUUCUCCUCUGAGUGCUUUCUUGUUUCCAAAUAUACAUGUUUGCCUCAGUGCAUCCCCGCUGGUAAUCAGCGAUGUGAAAAAGGUGCACGGCCGGGCAGGAGGGAGUUUAUUUAAUCAAAGGCAGUAGAUCGGUUUUUCACUGAAGGACACAUUUAUUGUGGGAUUCUAUUGUUUCCUUUUGUGUGGAGCAGCAUUUAGAUGUCACUAUUUUUCAGUUUUUCGUCCAAGACAAAUUGCACAUGAACAAUUCCUGAGCUGCUAUAAUCACAUCCAAAUUCCUAGACAGACCGUAACAAAGUACCUCCACCUUUUCAUUUUGUCCCAAUGUCUUACUGCUCAGAUUUAUUACCACUGUCAGUAAAGAUCGGUGCAUGUUGUAUUAAAAAUAUUGAAACCAGCAUGGCAAGUAAUACUGAUCCAGCACAUUUUCAAAAUUCCGUGUUUAUGAGGUCAUCUCAGAGUACCUGUUAUGGUACCUGUGCAUUUGAAAACUCAGAUAUUUGCAGCUGGAUAAAAUCAAAUUAAACAAACAUGGAUGCUCCAGGGCAGCAUUGGAGGUGAAUUAACCAUAGUUUAUGUCAUAGUGAUUGCAUGGUGAUGCAUUUUACACCGAUACGGUAAACACAACCAGAGCUGAGAGAUGGAUAAAUUCAACGUGAGAGCAGAACUGCAACAAACAAAUUCAAACAGCCAUGAAUGCACACGGGCAGCACUCGGGGUUUCCCUCCGACUUCCCACAUCACUCAGCGGUGGGUUUGAUGUUCUCUCUAUAAUCUUCCUCUCCAGGAAUCGGAAGAAGCAGUUUUUUGCAGCUCCGGUCUGAUGAAAUUAUUACCUAUCACCUACUAUUACCACAUGCUUUUUAACAAUGAGACGUGCGCAAUGAUGCAGAGAUUCAGAGAAAGUUUAUACAACUUUUUUUUUCCUGAGGUUAAAUUUCAAAGUGCACUUUGACUCAAAGGACGAGACGUUCCCUCAUCGUGCCACUUCCGUUCAAGGUAGUCGCGAGAGAAAUAACUCAUUCAUCUGCCUGUUCUUUUCCAUGAGCGUCUCUGAUCGUUGGUCGUUUGAGCUCGGUGAUGAAAGGUGGUGUGACUGAAGUGAGACAUUUUGUGGGGGCCCAGUGUGUAAUUGACGCGCCUGUGUUUUCAGGCCCGUUGGUGGCGCAGGUUGGAAAAUGUGGAGUAGAAAACGGUCUUUUUCUAAAGACAAUUGGGGAGCCUGUCGUCACAGGCGGUGCGUAGCGGGUACAAACACGCGGUGCACUGCACAGCCUACAUUCGACUCGGCCAAUCAGACUAAAUUGCGUUUCCAUUCUUUUGUGAAUUGAUUCUAAUUUCAGGGGAUGGAUGGAUGUUUUUUUUUCAGAAUUUACGAGCUUGCGUGUUUUAACGGCAGCACGCAGGUGCUUUACUAAACAGCAUGCGCAUGAUCAUGAAGUAUUUACGCUUCAACCACCUGGGAGGGUCUGCUGAUUGGUAAUUAUUACCCGAACACCCCCCGGGUUGUGUUUCAUCAGGUCCGCAUUAUACAUGUGGGUAAUUCUCUGCGGCUGAAAUCACUUGCAGGUUCAAGCUACUUCUGUUUUUCUUUCUGUCAUUUAAUACUCCUCAGAUCGACAUCUGCCGUUUAUGGCAGUUACUGAAACGGGCACCUGGCGUCUUCUAUCACGAGAGCCACGUCAACAGAUUGAAGGACUGGUAGCGCAUCAGUCGCUGUAUGCAGCUUGUGCAUGAAACGGUACCAAGCCGCUUGCCGUCGAUCUCAUUGUUCUCACCGUUCGUGCAUCGCCGGCGAUUGAACAGAGGGUUUGAGCAGGGAAACGCACCUCGCUGGUGACUGACGGCCCCUCUGAGCGGCGCUACGCCUCCUUCUCCUUUAGAGGCCUUUCACAUGAACGCAGAGGCCAUUGAGACUAUCGCGAUGUGACAAAUAAGUGCUGAGCUUCCUCCCGUGGAGUGUUAUUCAAAUGUGUAAAUGCAUUCAUAAUUACAUACUCGCUCACGUCACCCGUUUUGCACCAAAUGUAUUCAUUUGCCUGUCUAGAGACCUCAGACAGCGAGGGAAACGGGAACUCGCAUCAGACGAAUGAAAAGAGGAAAAACCCGAGAAAUGAUCGGCCAUAUUGAACUUUUUAUGUUUUAUUUAAUUAUUUACCCACUAAAACCACGUCACGUGCGUCAUGUGAAAUCAAAUUACCGACCUCGCUCUGAUGAACACUGUCCAUCUGGAAAGGGGUUUUCAGUCCGGGAAUCCGGCCGGUGAGCCUCCACAGCUGCUGCGCCACAUCAGCAUCUGCAUGCGGAACAGCUGCAGAUUAUUUCUUCUUUCUGUUUAAAAACUAACUAAAGUAGAUCCGCGGUGGAUUUGUCCGCCGGCACAUAAUGUACCUUUAAAGUGGUUGAGGAUGUAGAAAAAUUCGGUGUUUGAAGAUUGAUUAUGCUUUUAUAUCAUUCAUUUGGAUGAGUACGAGUUUUCUCUCUGCCCGCCCAUAAACAUCUUUUAUUUUUGCGGCAAAGCUCUGAAAGCCACGUUCCACGGUCGCUCAGCAACCGCCGCAAAUCUUUUAAUUACAACAAAACUUAAAGAAGGGACUUGAAGGCAUUUCAUGGCUGUGUCGCUUUAAAACGCCAUGAAAAUCAAUGAGUGUCCCGGUGCCCUGAAGACCGACUGUACUUUGUGAUAACACAAGCUGCUGAUAUGAGAUCUGUGUUAAGGAGGAAAAACAACGCUCCAUCUCUGCGCACUCAGGCAGCUGAAGGGAUUAUUCUGGGUCACGGGUUCAAACAGCUACUGUAGUUCUCGGCUGUUCUGCUGAGCUUCGCCCGGAGCCGUUGGUCAGCACGCUCGCUUUUCCUCCCGUUUCUUUUAUGUGUCUCUAACUUUCAUUUAUUUAUUCUGUAUACGGCUUCAUCUAUCUCUUCUAUCUGUGUCUCUGCCUCAAAGGGAAGGUGAUGCAAAGAGGUCUAAUGGAUGUAAAGGAAAGCGUAGGAGAGAGUCAGUGGAAAUGACUCUUCUGCGCCCACAGGCGGUUGCUGCGUGGGUUAAUGAAAGGCAUCUAGAUUUAAGAAACACAUAUUAAGACUCAAACACAGCUGGAUAACAUGCAUUUUCUUUCCACAAAUGUGUCUGUGCCGGUCUCUUCAGUCAUUGUUGGUAUCUUUGUUUAAUCAUUUUCCCCGGCCGGUCAGCUCUUAGCUCGUAGCUGUGAAGCUUCUGUGCAGGAAAUAUUUAGCGCGUGCAACGUUCACCGCCCCGACUGCCGCUGCAUUAGCAAGCCUGCCAUACAGGCUUGCUAAUGCAGCAGUUGUUAAGACAUUGCAGUCUGGAUUAUAGCGGUGGACAGACCUGCACUGCAUUGGUAGCAUAGCAGCGCAGCACAGCUAGAAUAGCGACGCAUUAAAAGACACUGACGAUAAAACAGCGCAGACAUUUGCAGCCCUGACUCCUGAAUCCGUGUAACUUUCUCCGAGCUCAACAUUUUGGGCUUCGGGAAGCUGUACCAACUCUUGAGCCUCUGUGGAAAGGAAUAUAAGACAGUUUAACGGUGUGUUGGAGGACUGAUGAUCUCCUAACAAUCGGCCUUCUACAGUCACAGUCCGCUUUAGGUUCUCGUCUUGUUCUUCCGUUGGAACUCAGGGUUGGAAAACAAGCAUCUUCAUCACCCCUGCUGCUCCCACACGCUGCUGUGAUUGAGACCUCCAUCACCCCGGAGAAGACGACUAAUUGACGGGAGACAGGGGGAGACAGACGAGGUCCAAUUAGCAUCACUGCACCAGCCCGACUCUCGGGAGCUCCAGGUGGUCCCGGGGAUCUGAUUGGAACACGGUUUGGAGAACUCAAAAGCCCUCAGUCAUUUUAUUGGAGAAGAAUGGUUUCCACGUAUGAUUUAUGGACUGAACGCCAUCACCUGCCAAUCAUUGCCCCGAUUACAAAUCCUGCACAGUGACAGUUUACUGCCGGAAUGUAGUAUAGAUCUUCUCUUAAGCUACAGUGAGCAUUUCCCCCGGCAUUCUUUAUAUCCAAACCAAAACAACAUUAUUGUGUGUGAUCAACCAUCCCGUCAAGGUUUUUGCAAAAGCAACACAAAGUGGCAAAGUGUCUAAUUCCACUGAAAUGGGAUUCCCCGAAAAGAAAAAGAAAUGUCGCCAAGAUAUUGUCAAUAAAUCUUUGAGAAUAAACGACAGAGAUCAUCAAAAAAGUAUCAGUGUCUCUCAAAGCCCGUUUGAAAGAGUAUUUCAUAAGUAAUCUUCAAAGAUUUAGAUAUGUGGUUUUUGGGGAGAAGAAGCUAAUGUCGAUUUUUGGUGAAGGAUCCGUGUGGAUCUCCGGCGACUAAUCAUUGCAUAAGAAAAGGACAAAGCGAGAUGAUGUAAUGAAAAGAAAAGUUUCAAGAGGUUCAGAACUCAUUUGAGUGCUGUUAACUCCACAACCUUUCUCUGCAAUUCCAUUGCACUUCAAAUUUAGUUCUUUUAAUCCAAGCAAAUAUUUGCAAUAAUAGUUUUUUUUUUCAAAAUGUGGUCUUAUUUUCUCCUUUUUUCGAGCACAGGUAAAAGGAAAUGACCCAACAGGUGGAUGCUUAGUGAUGAUUUAAGCACAACGUCCUUGUCAGGAAGACGUAUGAACUUUUUCUGUUGAGGACUGAUUGAUGGUGUCGUCAAACUUUCAAUAAAAUGACUAAAAUCUCACUGAGAUCUCGAAAUAUAUUGAACAAAUAAAUCUCCCAUAACCUGCCACUCCUCAAAGUGGAUUUUUGAGCAUCGAGAGCUUUCGGUCCGCUCCACUAAUGAACACCGCUGGUCCUGAAAGCGUCUGUUGUCACCAAACAAACUACAAAGCAUUUCCCAUUUUCCAAUUUGGAAAUGUGUGGGAGUCACUCAGCCGGCUGUUUUGUGCAGCGGCGGCUCAGAUUGAAAGAUCCUCUCACUUUGUAGCUUUGAUGUUUAAGUAUUACAAGUAGUGCCUUACUAAAGAUCAAAGCCCAAGGUCCAGAUCUCACGUCUUUCCUCGCUCUCAUCGUUCUCUGUGACAACAACUCAUAUUACUCAGACUUCAAGGUGCUUGAAGUACAUUUCGCUUUUUUUUUUCCAGCAGCAAAGAUUGUUCCCCUCUAUUUCUGUUCCCUCCGUUUUGUCUCUUUUCCCGCUUUGAAGUUCCAAAGGGAAGCAAACCGCUGCAGCAUUUUUUAAAAUUGGCCCUUGGUCAUUAUGCUCUUAAUCAUCUUCCCCAUCCAGCAUAUUCACGUCUUCCACAGAGGUUCUGCUGACCUCUCUGAAGUUGAUCUCUUCUCUUCUGAUCUCUAUUUUAACAGUAAAAUUGUCAUUGAAAGCGUCCCGUGUGCGUUUGUCCCUCUGUGACGUGAUUGAAUGACGGUGAAGAAGGACGAGAACACGUUUCUUCUCAGGACCCUGAGCCGGUGGGAAAGACCCCGCCGAGCCUCCAAAGAGGGGCCGAAACAACAGACAUGGCGCUCCUCCAGCAACCUGCUGGACGUGGUUGGCAGGAUGGACGCACAUAAAGGCGCGUCUUCACACAACCACCAUUGCUUGUGUGUAGUGUUGGUUUAGUUUUUAUACUUGGUUUACACACUCGUGUUAUUACAGUGAAGGAAGAGCGUCCGCCGGGUUUCAGCACAAGCAGCACGAGUGGCGUGUCCAGAUGAUCGAUGAAGGCAUCUGGCUUCAUCACAACGUUAAUUAUGAUCAUCAUGUAUCCGGAACCUGACAAAAAAACAUAAACAUUGUAAAAGUUAGAGAAGGUGAUGCUGCAGAAACUGAAUGAUUGAACAUUCAAAAAACAUUUUCUAAUUCAUUUAAUUACAGACUGAGCUCCAUGAGACAAAAAGGACAGAGUUUGUCCUUUUGUCUCUCAGCAUGUCUUUCUCAUAAAAACACACUUUGUUUUGCAUGGUUGUGACGCUCUUGUGUUGACGGAUCUCACAUAUGACACACACACAUACACACGUAUGUAAAUCCUGUUUGAGUAGUGAAAGUGCUUCUGGGUUCUGGGUUCCUGGUUGUGUCGACACACUCACACACUGACAAGCCUCAAACAUCAAGCUGCAAAGAAAUUUAGAGCCUUUCUUAUGUUCAACUUAAUUAUAACAAUGUGACUGAAUCACAAAAUCGUAUUAGUAAGUAAGUAAACUGCCCUGCCACACAUUUCUGUUACGGAUCAUUUCUCACUAAUAAACCACGACGGCGUCUCCAUUCUGUCUCUCGUGUCGCUUCCAGUUCAUUUUCAGGCGGAAACGUCCAUUUCUAAGGUGAUUGCUGUGUUUUAUUCAUACUUUAGUGACAUUAAGUAGCAGUUGCAGAAUGUAUCCCCCCAUAAUUCAUUAUUCCCUCACAGCUCGUGUCUCACAAACAGGCCAGAGAUUGUUUUUGUUGACGUUUGAAAGUGCUGAUCAAAGCAGCCAGACUUUUCCCUGUAAUAAGUAGAGAAAAUAACUACUACAGCUCCCACAGCAGGAGCUCCUUAUUGAUUUCCGUGGCUCGCGUUUCAGCCUCAUUACUCCGGGAGCGGCGUUGAAAACCCGAGCAGCGAACUUCAGGAGGAGAUCCCGCUGCCCACGUUUGCCAAAACCACCGGAGGAAAGUAGCAAACCCGCAAACCUAAUCGAGGGCCAAUCAGCUGCAAUUACAAAGGUUUUCUCUUCGGCCGCUGAGAAUGAGAAUGAGAGAAUGAGAAUGCCGCUGACGGGCAGGGGUCCGGCCCACCCGGGCCCACGCACAAUGUGUACACGUGGCGUUUUAACGCAGCUGCGCUGGGGGAGGACGCAGGAAAACAGAAGGAAACUGUGGAGGCCCAAAACCAAGUGGAACAGAUCCUCAUUGCCUUCUUUUCUCUGUCAGAGUCCCAUCGACGCUCACUUCCCUUCACUGGUCGAAAAAGGAAAAUGUUUGGUGUGUUUUGUGGGAAGAGCAACACCGGCGGGGUCAAAACACGUUGGGUUGCGUUCUGGGAAGCUCCGUUUUAAGCGGCGACAUCGGGCCCAUUGUCUGCCGGUGAAAACACGAUGUGUUCCUCUCAUCUCGUUCUACUCACAUUCACUCUACGAUGGAUCUGGUUUGUUGCAAAAGGCCUCCGCCGGAUAAGAAAUGGGCCGAUGACGGCCGCCACUGACUAACUCUCAAAUGCAGGACCGCUUUUUCAAAAAGUGCAUCCGUUAUAAUACUUUGCUGAUUUUGAAACUUUCGUUGUUAUUUCGCAGAGAAACCAGUAACAACUUUUCAGGAUUUCGGUCUCUUUCUCUCCGAGGCUGUUUAAGGUGCAGGGAGCGCUGAAACUUUAAUGAAUGCAUGCUAUAACAAGCUGCUCGGUUGUUAUCUGGUUGAGCGAAGCCGUCGGUGGUGAGAGCAGGUGAGGUGAAGAGGUGGAGAGGUCGACCUCACACCAUCUGCUUUAAUGCGAGCCUGUGAGCUCCGCGGACGGUCAGGACCUCCUCUGGAAAAACAGCCCGGAGCAGCAAACGGAAUCUGGGAGACGACAACGCCGCCUCGCCACCAACACACACACACACACACACACACACACACACACACACACAACCAACAAAGAAACACAAGCGCGCGGGCGAGGCAGCCCUCGCUCCUCGGAGAGACGUGCGCACGGGAAGUAAACAGCGGUGGGGUUUCGAUGGAACGAAAGGUCAGCCGAGCUUACGUGUCCGUGAGCCACGCGAC
ensembl:lncRNA